UAGUCAUAUGCUUGUCUCAAAGAUUAAGCCAUGCAUGUCUAAGUAUAAGCGAUCUUAUACAGCGAAACUGCGAAUGGCUCAUUAAAUCAGUUAUAGUCUACUUGAUCGUAUCUUCUUACAUGGAUAACCGUAGUAAAUCUAGAGCUAAUACAUGCUAAAAAUCCCGGACGCGGCAACGCGGAAGGGACGAGUUUAUUAGAUUAAAAACCGACACCUCUCCGCAAGGGGAGGUAGCACAGGUGAUUCACAGUAACCGAUCGGAUCGUCGGCCCAGCCGACGACGAUGCAUACGAGUUUCUGCCCUAUCAACUUUAGAUGGUAGAGUAUCGGUCUACCAUGGUCGUAACGGGUGACGGGGGAUUAGGGUUCGAUUCCGGAGAGGGAGCCUGAGAAACGGCUACCACUUCCAAGGAAGGCAGCAGGCGCGCAAAUUACCCAAUCCCGACACGGGGAGGUAGUGACAAGAAAUACCAUUGUAAUGUCUCCUAGUGAGGCUUACGAUUGGAAUGAGUACAAUUUAAAUCCCUUAACGAGUAACGAUU
rnacentral:rRNA from 1 species